rnacentral:rRNA from 1 species
AGACCCGAAACCCGGUGAUCUAGCCAUGGGCAGGUUGAAGGUUGGGUAACACUAACUGGAGGACCGAACCGACUAAUGUUGAAAAAUUAGCGGAUGACCUGUGGCUGGGGGUGAAAGGCCAAUCAAACCGGGAGAUAGCUGGUUCUCCCCGAAAGCUAUUUAGGUAGCGCCUCGUGAAUUCAUCUCCGGGGGUAGAGCACUGUUUCGGCUAGGGGGCCAUCCCGGCUUACCAACCCGAUGCAAACUGCGAAUACCGGAGAAUGUUAUCACGGGAGACACACGGCGGGUGCUAACGUCCGUCGUGAAGAGGGAAACAACCCAGACCGCCAGCUAAGGUCCCAAAGUCAUGGUUAAGUGGGAAACGAUGUGGGAAGGCCCAGACAGCCAGGAUGUUGGCUUAGAAGCAGCCAUCAUUUAAAGAAAGCGUAAUAGCUCACUGGUCGAGUCGGCCUGCGCGGAAGAUGUAACGGGGCUAAACCAUGCACCGAAGCUGCGGCAGCGACACUGUGUGUUGUUGGGUAGGGGAGCGUUCUGUAAGCCUGUGAAGGUGGCCUGUGAGGGUUGCUGGAGGUAUCAGAAGUGCGAAUGCUGACAUAAGUAACGAUAAAGCGGGUGAAAAGCCCGCUCGCCGGAAGACCAAGGGUUCCUGUCCAACGUUAAUCGGGGCAGGGUGAGUCGACCCCUAAGGCGAGGCCGAAAGGCGUAGUCGAUGGGAAACGGGUUAAUAUUCCCGUACUUGGUGUUACUGCGAAGGGGGGACGGAGAAGGCUAUGUUGGCCGGGCGACGGUUGUCCCGGUUUAAGCGUGUAGGUGUGUGUUCCAGGUAAAUCCGGUUCACUUUAACACUGAGGCGUGACGACGAGGCACUACGGUGCUGAAGCAACAAAUGCCCUGCUUCCAGGAAAAGCCUCUAAGCAUCAGGUAACAUCAAAUCGUACCCCAAACCGACACAGGUGGUCAGGUAGAGAAUACCAAGGCGCUUGAGAGAACUCGGGUGAAGGAACUAGGCAAAAUGGUGCCGUAACUUCGGGAGAAGGCACGCUGACACGUAGGUGAAGUGAUUUACUCAUGGAGCUGAAGUCAGUCGAAGAUACCAGCUGGCUGCAACUGUUUAUUAAAAACACAGCACUGUGCAAACACGAAAGUGGACGUAUACGGUGUGACGCCUGCCCGGUGCCGGAAGGUUAAUUGAUGGGGUCAGCGCAAGCGAAGCUCCUGAUCGAAGCCCCGGUAAACGGCGGCCGUAACUAUAACGGUCCUAAGGUAGCGAAAUUCCUUGUCGGGUAAGUUCCGACCUGCACGAAUGGCGUAAUGAUGGCCAGGCUGUCUCCACCCGAGACUCAGUGAAAUUGAACUCGCUGUGAAGAUGCAGUGUACCCGCGGCAAGACGGAAAGACCCCGUGAACCUUUACUAUAGCUUGACACUGAACAUUGAGCCUUGAUGUGUAGGAUAGGUGGGAGGCUUUGAAGUGUGGACGCCAGUCUGCAUGGAGCCGACCUUGAAAUACCACCCUUUAAUGUUUGAUGUUCUAACGUGGACCCGUAAUCCGGGUUGCGGACAGUGUCUGGUGGGUAGUUUGACUGGGGCGGUCUCCUCCUAAAGAGUAACGGAGGAGCACGAAGGUUGGCUAAUCCUGGUCGGACAUCAGGAGGUUAGUGCAAUGGCAUAAGCCAGCUUGACUGCGAGCGUGACGGCGCGAGCAGGUGCGAAAGCAGGUCAUAGUGAUCCGGUGGUUCUGAAUGGAAGGGCCAUCGCUCAACGGAUAAAAGGUACUCCGGGGAUAACAGGCUGAUACCGCCCAAGAGUUCAUAUCGACGGCGGUGUUUGGCACCUCGAUGUCGGCUCAUCACAUCCUGGGGCUGAAGUAGGUCCCAAGGGUAUGGCUGUUCGCCAUUUAAAGUGGUACGCGAGCUGGGUUUAGAACGUCGUGAGACAGUUCGGUCCCUAUCUGCCGUGGGCGCUGGAGAACUGAGGGGGGCUGCUCCUAGUACGAGAGGACCGGAGUGGACGCAUCACUGGUGUUCGGGUUGUCAUGCCAAUGGCACUGCCCGGUAGCUAAAUGCGGAAGAGAUAAGUGCUGAAAGCAUCUAAGCACGAAACUUGCCCCGAGA